rnacentral:rRNA from 1 species
AUUGAACGCUGGCGGCAGGCCUAACACAUGCAAGUCGAGCGGAUGAAGGGAGCUUGCUCCUGGAUUCAGCGGCGGACGGGUGAGUAAUUCCUAGGAAUCUGCCUGGUAGUGGGGGAUAACGUCCGGAAACGGGCGCUAAUACCGCAUACGUCCUGAGGGAGAAAGUGGGGGAUCUUCGGACCUCACGCUAUCAGAUGAGCCUAGGUCGGAUUAGCUAGUUGGUGGGGUAAAGGCCUACCAAGGCGACGAUCCGUAACUGGUCUGAGAGGAUGAUCAGUCACACUGGAACUGAGACACGGUCCAGACUCCUACGGGAGGCAGCAGUGGGGAAUAUUGGACAAUGGGCGAAAGCCUGAUCCAGCCAUGCCGCGUGUGUGAAGAAGGUCUUCGGAUUGUAAAGCACUUUAAGUUGGGAGGAAGGGCAGUAAGUUAAUACCUUGCUGUUUUGACGUUACCAAAAGAAUAAGCAACGGCUAACUUCGUG